UACAGAGGUGGCAAGCGUUGUUCGGAAUUACUGGGCGUAAAGGGCGCGUAGGCGGUCAGGUCAGUCCCGUGUGAAAUCCCUCGGCUCAACUGAGGAACUGCACGGGAAACUGCCUGGCUUGAGUUCGGGAGAGGGAAGCGGAAUUCCGGGUGUAGCGGUGAAAUGCGUAGAUAUCAGGAGGAACACCGGUGGCGAAGGCGGCUAUCUGGACAGAAACUGACGCUGAGGCGCGAAAGCUAGGGGAGCAAACAGG
rnacentral:rRNA from 1 species